AGCGGUGGAGCAUGUGGUUUAAUUCGAAGCAACGCGAAGAACCUUACCAGGUCUUGACAUCCUUUGACCACUCUAGAGAUAGAGCUUCCCCUUCGGGGGCAAAGUGACAGGUGGUGCAUGGUUGUCGUCAGCUCGUGUCGUGAGAUGUUGGGUUAAGUCCCGCAACGAGCGCAACCCUUAUUGUUAGUUGCCAUCAUUCAGUUGGGCACUCUAGCAAGACUGCCGGUGACAAACCGGAGGAAGGUGGGGAUGACGUCAAAUCAUCAUGCCCCUUAUGACCUGGGCUACACACGUGCUACAAUGGGAAGUACAACGAGUUGCGAAGUCGCGAGGCUAAGCUAAUCUCUUAAAGCUUCUCUCAGUUCGGAUUGCAGGCUGCAACUCGCCUGCAUGAAGCCGGAAUCGCUAGUAAUCGCGGAUCAGCACGCCGCGGUGAAUACGUUCCCGGGCCUUGUACACACCGCCCGUCACACCACGAGAGUU
rnacentral:rRNA from 1 species